UACAGGGGGUGCAAACGUUGCUCGGAAUUAUUGGGCGUAAAGCGCGCGUAGGCGGCUACUUAAGUCGGAUGUGAAAGCCCUUGGCUCAACUGAGGAAGUGCACCCGAAACUGAGUGGCUAGAGUACGAAAGAGGGUCGCGGAAUUCCCGGUGUAGAGGUGAAAUUCGCAGAUAUCGGGAGGAACACCGGUGGCGAAGGCGGCGACCUGGGUCGAUACUGACGCUGAUGCGCGAAAGCGUGGGGAGCAAACGGG
rnacentral:rRNA from 1 species